rnacentral:rRNA from 1 species
UCAGACGAUGCGUCAUGCAUAUCAAUAAGCGGAGGAAAAGGCUGCGGAACUGAGCGACCGCUACCUACGCUUAGGAUGUUGACACACGCGCAUGCUCGACUCUAUACAUGACUCUGCGCAUAUCAAUAAGCGGAGGAAAAGAAACUAACAAGGAUUCCCCUAGUAACGGCGAGUGAAGCGGGAAGAGCUCAAAUUUGAAAUCUUAAAGGGUUUCCCUUUACGAAUUGUAGUUUAAAGAAGUGUUUUCUGUUGAGGUUUUGGUAAAAGUUCUUUGGAAUAGGACAUCAUAGAGGGUGAGAAUCCCGUAUUUGACCUUUACUUUCAACUUUGUGAUACACUUUCAAAGAGUCGGAUUGUUUGGGAAUGCAGUCCAAAAUGGGUGGUAAAUUUCAUCUAAAGCUAAAUAUUGGCGAGAGACCGAUAGCGAACAAGUACCGUGAGGGAAAGAUGAAAGGAACUUUGAAAAGAGAGUUAAACAGUACGUGAAAUUGUCAAAAGGGAAGCGUUUGACACCAGUGUUGUUUUUCUGAAAAUCAAUUAAAGAACUGUUUAUGCUAAGCUGUUUAGACUUUAUCAGCUAUCUGUUUAGUUUUGAGCUUUUCUUUAAUGCACUUUUCAGUUAACAAGUCAACAUCAAUUUCUUUUGCUGUAAAAAAGCUUGAGGAAGGUGGCUUGAGAUUCGUCUUAAGUGUUUAUAGCCUCUUGCCUAUGCAGUCGGAGAGAUUGAGGUCUGCAGCGUAGAUCCUUCGGGGCUAAAUGCAUUUGUGCUAAGUUAUAGCAUUUUAUAGACAACUUGUUGACUAUGAUUUGUCUUGUAGCUUACUCGCUUAUGUUAUUUUACCUACGCUUAGGAUGUUGAUCUACAGAGCGAGAGU